rnacentral:rRNA from 1 species
AUUGAACGCUGGCGGCAGGCCUAACACAUGCAAGUCGAACGGUAACAGGAAGAAGCUUGCUUCUUUGCUGACGAGUGGCGGACGGGUGAGUAAUGUCUGGGAAACUGCCUGAUGGAGGGGGAUAACUACUGGAAACGGUAGCUAAUACCGCAUAACGUCGCAAGACCAAAGAGGGGGACCUUCGGGCCUCUUGCCAUCGGAUGUGCCCAGAUGGGAUUAGCUUGUUGGUGGGGUAACGGCUCACCAAGGCGACGAUCCCUAGCUGGUCUGAGAGGAUGACCGGCCACAUUGGGACUGAGAUACGGCCCAGACUCCUACGGGAGGCAGCAGUGGGGAAUAUUGCACAAUGGGCGCAAGCCUGAUGCAGCCAUGCCGCGUGUAUGAAGAAGGCCUUCGGGUUGUAAAGUACUUUCAGCGGGGAGGAAGGGAGUAAAGUUAAUACCUUUGCUCAUUGACGUUACCCGCAGAAGAAGCACCGGCUAACUCCGUG